AAGGGUAUAGCUCAGUGGUAGAGUGCCUGCUUAGCAUGCGCAAGGUCCUGGGUUCGAUCCUCAGUACCUCUA
rnacentral:tRNA from 1 species